CGAACCCCGAGGAACGAUCGGCGGUUCCCCUUCGGGGGGACGAGGUGGACAGGUGGUGCAUGGUUGUCGUCAGCUCGUGUCGUGAGAUGUUGGGUUAAGUCCCGCAACGAGCGCAACCCUCGACCUUAGUUGCCAGCAUUCAGUUGGGCACUCUAAGGUGACUGCCGGCUAAAAGUCGGAGGAAGUGGGGAUGACGUCAAAUCAUCAUGCCCCUUAUGACCUGGGCUACACACGUGCUACAAUGGGCGGUACAAAGGGUCGCGAACCCGCGAGGGGGAGCCAAUCCCAAAAAGCCGCUCUCAGUUCGGAUUGCAGGCUGCAAUUCGCCUGCGUGAAGUCGGAAUCGCUAGUAAUCGCAGGUCAGCAUACUGCGGUGAAUACGUUCCCGGGCCUU
rnacentral:rRNA from 1 species